GUAAGACAGAGCGGCUGUGUGACUCUAGACUCCCGGGGACACCCUCUGAUGUAGAUGACUAUUCUAGAAAGAGCUAGACAAAGGGAAGCAGGAGCAGAACUCAGAGCUGGGACAACACACCCAAGCCCUGCCAACGUACCUCGGGUGAGCAUCAAUCCUAACCGGCAAGCCCUGCCAACGUACCUCGGGAUGAACACAAGGUGUGCUUCUGGAUGCACAGAUCAUGACCUCCUGAUCAAGGUUCAUCCCUUCCAAUUAGAAGUUCAAGAUCACCCUUAGCUACGCAGCAAGUUCAAGCCCAGCCCUGAAUCCACAAGACCGUAUGGAAAACAACACCAUUCUUGUACUGGAAUGUUUAAUGGUCUACAUCUCCUUCCUAGACUCCUGAGCAGUGAGCUGCGGCCAUGGGAUAGAAUUCUCGGCAGUGAACUGACAUGUGUGUUUUUCCUGACCUCUUAUGUCACCUGUCUGCCCCAGGUCUGGGAUUCUACGUCACUACUUAAUUCUACUUAAUUCUCCCUUUUUCUUUGCUGAUCUCAGGCAACAACUUUUAAAAUGACAUCUUCCUGGUAUACAUUCUGUUGAUGCCAUGUGAGGUCCACUUAGAAUUGAAAUAAAGCUUUUGUCCUCA